rfam:Triticum urartu cultivar G1812 contig1051764, whole genome shotgun sequence.
GAUGUACUUCCUCCGUCCGAAAAAACUUGUCAUCAAACUGGACAAAAAGGGGUGUAUCUAAAACUAAAAUACAUCUAGAUACAUCCCCUUUGAUUCAUUUUGAUGACAAGUAUUUCUGGACGGAGGGAGUAUGAU